GAUGAACGCUGGCGGCGUGCCUAAUACAUGCAAGUCGAGCGAACGGACGAGAAGCUUGCUUUUCUGAUGUUAGCGGCGGACGGGUGAGUCACACGUGUAUAACCUACCUAUAAGACUGGUAUCACCUCGGGAAACCGGAGCUAAUCCCGGAUAAUAUUUUGAACCGCAUGGUUCAAAAGUGAAAGACGGUCUUGCUGUCACUUAUAGAUGGAUCUGCGCUGCAUUAGCUGGUUGUUAAGGUAACGGCUUUCCAAGGCAACUAUGCAUAGCCGACCUGAGAGGGUGAUCGGCCGCACGGGAGCGGGAACGCGGUCCAGAGUCCUGAGGGAGGCACCAGUCGGGAAUCGUCGGCAAUGGGCGAAAGCCUGACAGAGCAACGCCGCGUGAGUGAUGGCGGUCUUCGGAUCGUGAAACUCGGUUAUGAGGGAAAAACAUAUGUGUAAGGAGAUGUGCACAGCUUGACGGUACCUAAUCAGAAAGCCACGGCUAACUACGUG
rnacentral:rRNA from 1 species